CCUACGGGGUGCAGCAGUGGGGAAUAUUGCACAAUGGGGGAAACCCUGAUGCAGCCAUGCCGCGUGUGUGAAGAAGGCCUUCGGGUUGUAAAGCACUUUCAGCGGGGAGGAAGGGAGUAAAGUUAAUACCUUUGCUCAUUGACGUUACCCGCAGAAGAAGCACCGGCUAACUCCGUGCCAGCAGCCGCGGUAAUACGGAGGGUGCAAGCGUUAAUCGGAAUUACUGGGCGUAAAGCGCACGCAGGCGGUUUGUUAAGUCAGAUGUGAAAUCCCCGGGCUCAACCUGGGAACUGCAUCUGAUACUGGCAAGCUUGAGUCUCGUAGAGGGGGGUAGAAUUCCAGGUGUAGCGGUGAAAUGCGUAGAGAUCUGGAGGAAUACCGGUGGCGAAGGCGGCCCCCUGGACGAAGACUGACGCUGAGGCGCGAAAGCGUGGGGAGCAAACAGGAUUAGAUACCCUCGUAGUC
rnacentral:rRNA from 1 species